AAGAAGCCUCCACAACCCGGGAACUUUAUCGGCGAUGCAAGAGCUGUGUAAGCCUCUACAACCCGGAUCAAAACGCCGCUGAAAUGGAGAUCUGACUAUCCUAUCUCCUCUCUCCUCGCCGCGAAUCCAGAGGAAGAAGAUUUGCAGAGAACCGGUCUUCCCGAGACAAAACCCUAACCCAGAUCCGCGCGCAUGUCGGAGAGAAUCGACAGAUCGGAAUAAACUCACGAAGACUUGAACGGAAUAACAAGG
rnacentral:lncRNA from 1 species